AUACGGAGGGUGCAAGCGUUAAUCGGAAUUACUGGGCGUAAAGCGCGCGUAGGCGGUCAUGUAAGUCGGGUGUGAAAUCCCCGGGCUCAACCUGGGAACUGCAUUCGAUACUGUAUGACUUGAGUUUGGUAGAGGGGAUUGGAAUUCCACAUGUAGCGGUGAAAUGCGUAGAUAUGUGGAGGAACACCAGUGGCGAAGGCGACUCCCUGGCCCAAAACUGACGCUGAGGUGCGAAAGCGUGGGUAGCAAACAGGAUUAGAAACCCUAGUAGUCC
rnacentral:rRNA from 1 species